rnacentral:rRNA from 1 species
GAUGAACGCUGGCGGCGUGCUUAACACAUGCAAGUCGAGCGAGAAGUUUUGAAAAGAUUCUUCGGAUGAAAUUUAAAAUGGAAAGCGGCGGACGGGUGAGUAACGCGUAGGCAACCUGCCCCAUACAAAGGGAUAGCAUUUGGAAACGAAUAUUAAUACCUUAUGAAACUUAACUAGUGCAUGCUAGGUAGGUCAAAGAUUUAUCGGUAUGGGAUGGGCCUGCGUCUGAUUAGCUAGUUGGUGAGGUAACGGCUCACCAAGGCGACGAUCAGUAGCCGACCUGAGAGGGUGAACGGCCACAUUGGAACUGAGACACGGUCCAAACUCCUACGGGAGGCAGCAGUGGGGAAUAUUGCACAAUGGGGGAAACCCUGAUGCAGCAACGCCGCGUGAACGAUGAAGGCCUUUGGGUCGUAAAGUUCUGCUCUAGGUGAUGAAAACUGACAGUAACCUAGGAGAAAGCCCCGGCUAACUCCGUG